GAUGAAGGAACGUAGCGAAAUGCGAUAAGUAAUGCGAAUUGCAGAAUUCAGUGAGUCAUCGAAUCUUUGAACGCACAUUGCGCCCUGUGGUAUUCCGCAGGGCAUGCCUGUUCGAGCGUCAUUUCAACCCUCAAGCCUCGCUUGGUGUUGGGCCCUGCCCGCCGCGGCCGGCCCUAAAGAUAGUGGCGGCGCCGCCUGGCCCUCAGCGUAGUACAGCUCUCGCUCCAGGGUCCGGCGGCAGCCUGCCAGAACCCCCCAACUCUGUGGUUGACCUCGGAUCAGGUAGGGAUACCCGCUGAACUUAAGCAUAUCAAUAAGCGGAGGA
rnacentral:misc_RNA from 1 species